ACGACAGGCUAAGAGCUGUGCCCUUCUACCAGGAGCUCAGGUGGCAGCUUCGAGUAGAGUAGUCCUCUUCUGAAGGUGCUUUUGGUGACAGAGCAGCCAUUUCUGGACCUAUCCUGACUGACUGUAAUGCAGUUCUUUGUCCUGCUGACAAUUCUUUGCUUAUUGUCACCCAGUUACAAAUGCUGACCUGUCCUCGAUGCUGACACAACAGUUGUAACCAAGACAGCUCCUGAACGAAACAGGAAAAACCCAUCCAUCUAUAGUGUGUUUAGACAUGGUUUCUAUGGAGAAGAAACAGUCUGGUUGCUUGGAAGGGUGACAACUGAAAGCAAGAUGAUCCAAGUCCCCAGGUCUUUAUGGAAGUCAUAGUUUCGUCUGCUAAGCUGAUAGCAAAGCCACAGGGAGUGCGGCUUCCUUUCUGCUUUGCUCACCAUUUGCCAGGCACUUCUCAAGGCGAGCUUGCGUCCUACAGCUUCAUCCUUACAACAAGGUGUACCUGAUCAUUUACAAAAUAUGUGGGAAGGUCUGGGAGGCAGUUCCCACUCUUUUCCUUGCUAUACGAAGAAAGAAAGAGACAGAAGGAAAUGUUAAAUGGUCACUUUAGGGCCUCAUGGUUAGGAGAUGGGACUAUCAUGCUGCCAAUGUUGUACUACAGGAAGUUCAGCUAUGGUGAGAACAUGACAUAGAGACUCCACUGUCGUCUUAGCCUACCAAUCCUGCUCUGACAAAAGCCCGCAGACUAUGUAGCUUUAAUGACCAAUGCUUACUGUCUAACAGUCCUGGAGUCUGGAAGUCUAAGAUCAGGAUCCGGCAGGGUUGAGUCUGGCCUAAAAGCAAAGGACCUGCUUUCUCAUGAGGCACCAUUUGAAGCCACAAGCCCGAAGCAGCCUCUCUGUAAGUUGACUGCCUCAGAUAUUUACUAUGGAUACAGAGAGCUAACUACCACCAACCCAAAUGAUCCUGGUGCCUAUUAAAAAUGAAACAAAAGAAACGCAGAGACUUGCUCUUCAUUGGAAACACAGCACCUGACGUUUUAGUUACAGAAUACAAAAGGACGGGAGGAAGGAAACAGAGAAGCGAACUCUACGCAUGAUUGUACAUCCUAAGUGGAACCUACCUUCCUCUUCAUUUACCACGAAAGGCCAGCUGUCAUGGAAAGCUGUUCCUGUACCCAUUACCAUUCUUUUAUCAGAAAGGAAGAUAAAACCUUAACAAAAGAACAGAUGAUCUGAGGCCGCUGGUUCCCCCAACUCCAAAUCUGCUUCUGAGAGGAAGUUGCAUCCUUGCAGAAUUAUUAUUAUCAAUCAGCCUUUAUUGCUUCGGCUUUCUUUAUUGCAUUCUAACACACAAAGUAAUGAAAACAUAUAAUAAAGAGAAUAAAACACGCAAUGCAUCACUGUGCAGAUAUCGCA
rnacentral:lncRNA from 1 species